UGUAUGCAGCAGAGGGUUUGCAGGAAUCUGUGCGUUGUGAGCUGUCAAGUGUCACCCAAGCUGUGUGAGCAGUGAGAUGUGUGUGCAGCUGCAUGCAUCCUAUCUGUCCUAGUACAUUGCUGCUGCCGCCGCCGCUUUGUUUCAUUCAUUGACAAGGAUCCCUACAAGAAGGGCAACGUGAGUCUUUUGCACCCAGCUGCCCGGGAUCACUGGAGGAGCUCCGGGCAGCAGCUCAUGAUGUGCCUUGAGAGUGAUGGAUCGGGCACCGGAGGCAGCAGCCAAGACUGUAUCCCUGGAGCUGAGGAGGGGGUCGGGGGUUUGGAGACUCUCCCCGGUAGCAUCCCUGUUACUACCCCUCUGGAUAUUAAAUCCAGAGAUACGGACAGCCCCAUCAGUAAAGCCACGGCCCCCAAAAAGCUGAACCGGAGACGUGCCAGGGUGGUAGCCGCUGGCAUCUUAAGCGUGGGCAACGUGCUGAAUUACCUGGACCGAUACACCGUGGCAGGUGUUUUACUGGAUAUCCAACAACACUUUGGAGUAAAAGACAGUGGAGCAGGUCUGCUACAGACAGUUUUCAUCUGCAGCUUUAUGAUAGCUGCACCGAUCUUUGGUUAUUUAGGAGAUCGAUUUAACAGAAAAGUGAUUCUGAGUUGUGGAAUAUUCUUCUGGUCAAUUAUCACUUUCUCAAGUUCCUUCAUCCCAAAACAGUACUUUUGGCUCCUGGUACUCUCUCGAGGGUUAGUGGGCAUUGGAGAAGCAAGUUACUCCACCAUCGCUCCCACCAUUAUCGGGGACUUGUUUACGAAGAACACCCGCACACUCAUGCUGUCUGUCUUCUACUUCGCCAUACCACUCGGAAGUGGUUUAGGAUACAUCAUUGGUUCGAGCGUUAAGCAAGUAGCAGGGGACUGGCGCUGGGCAUUGCGGGUGUCUCCAGUGCUGGGUAUGAUAACAGGAACGCUGUUAUUAAUAUUUGUGCCAGCAGCCAAGAGAGGCCACGCAGAUCCAAAUAAACAUAGGACAUCUUGGGUCAAUGACAUGAAAGCACUUAUUAAAAACCGGAGUUAUGUCUUCUCUUCACUGGCAACUUCUACAGUGUCUUUUGCGACAGGGGCUUUGGGCAUGUGGAUUCCACUCUAUCUGUACAGGGCCCAGGUGGUACAGAAAACCAUGGAACCGUGCAACAUUGGACUGUGCAGCACCAAGGACAGCCUGAUAUUCGGGGCAAUCACCUGCAUCACUGGUUUUCUGGGGGUUAUCACCGGGGCAGGAGCUACUAAAUGGUGUCGCCAGAAGACUAAGCGUGCUGACCCCCUGGUCUGUGCUGUUGGCAUGCUGGGGUCAGCUAUAUUCAUCUGCCUGGUCUUCGUGGCUGCUAAGAGCAGCAGCGUAGCUGCAUAUAUUUGCAUAUUCGCUGGAGAGACUCUUUUAUUUUCUAACUGGGCCAUAACUGCUGACAUUUUAAUGUAUGUGGUGAAACCAACACGACGGGCAACUGCUGUGGCCUUGCAGAGCUUUACAUCCCACCUUCUUGGAGAUGCUGGCAGUCCGUACCUGAUAGGAUUUAUCUCGGACCUCAUCCAGCAGAGCACCACACAAUCUCCUCUGUGGGAGUUCCUGAGCCUUGGUUAUGCACUCAUGCUUUGCCCCUUUGUGGUCGUUCUCGGGGGAAUGUUUUUCCUGGCAACUGCACUUUACUUUUUGAAGGACUGUGAUGACGCAGAGCAGCAUGAGUCGUGCUCAGAUCCCUUCACUGCUGGCAGCUGUAGCGACUCAGAAGAAGCUUCCAUCUUAUAGCUUUUUUUAGGUGAGUCAGCUGGCGAUGUCACCGGUUUCUGCGAACGUCUGAUAAGGUGAAAAGAAGAAAAGAGUCUUGGAUGUAAAAAUCUGGAAAAAGGAACAUUUUGGGUAUUUCUCAAAAAUGCAUGUAAUGCAAUACAAAGUCAACAGUCUAUGUUGACGCAACUAUUCUGUUUGAACUAUCGUAAGAAUUGUCAAUGGCAAUUGGGAAAGUGAACACUUUUUGAAAUUUGGGAUGGCUUUAAGACUGUCCAAAGGGACUCCGGAUUGUUGAAGUGGUUGCCGGUAAAAUGGAUGCACUGAAACUUCAUCAUUCCAGAGUGUGACUGAAUACACUGGACGCACUGUGACCAUGGGGGCGACACGCAGAACACGCUUACAAAUGUGGCCCCUUUCUAGCAGCUGAAAUCACUGAUGAGGUUAAGUGUGCAAACUGGUUGAAGGAUACUUUGUUUCAGAUGAAGUUAAUUCUUAUUAUAUAUUAUGUAAAGUAGCUGUAAAUACUUUUUUUUAAAAAAACCUGUAUAUAAAAUAUAGAGAGCUAUAUAUGUAUAUUUUUUACUCACACCAACUCUUUUAUUUUAAGUCUUGGAUGUGUGUGACCCACAUUUAUAUUGACCUUAGAUAUUUAUUCUGUUAUUGGCACCAGAGCUUUAAGAUAGUUAUCGAAUAUAGCUCCAAAGGGGAUAAGCUAUGUUCCUUUCAUGAAUACUUGGUUUACAAAGCGAUUUAAAUGGUGGUUAUAUUUCUUAAGGUGCAGUUUGACAAAACACUGAGCAUUUGAAUUCAGUUUACAGUAUUAAAGAGCCGUUUAUGUUUUAAAAUACUUUGGCUUUUUUUUUCAUAGACGCCAAAGUUAUUUAUGAUUUGCACCCUGGAGUUAUCAGAAAACAAGGUGUGUCUCCUGUGUAGCAAAAGCUCAUUUUGAUCGCAGGCCUGUAGAGAGGUUCUAGGGGUUAAGAUUCCCUAUGUUGAUUUAGGUCAAAAUGUAGCUUGCUUACCUGAGCAAAGAAUUGAUGUGUCCAGGAGGAAGCAGCUUGUGACUUAUGAACUAUGUGCUGUUCUCCCCAAAUUCCCAAAGCAAUAUAAAAAUACAUUUUGACUACUUUAAAAGAAGCCAUAUUUAGUGGCAUUUUCAAUAUCGGCAUCAUCGAGAGUCUCCAUGAAUUGCAAAGCAAUGUAAUAUGACACAAAA